CCUACGGGGUGCUGCAGUGAGGAAUAUUGGUCAAUGGACGAGAGUCUGAACCAGCCAAGUAGCGUGAAGGAUGACUGCCCUAUGGGUUGUAAACUUCUUUUAUAAAGGAAUAAAACGAGGCACGUGUGCCUUUUUGCAUGUACUUUAUGAAUAAGGAUCGGCUAACUCCGUGCCAGCCGCCGCGGUAAUACGGAGGAUCCGAGCGUUAUCCGUAUUUAUUGGGUUUAAAGGGAGCGUAGAUGGGUUGUUAAGUCAGUUGUGAAAGUUUGCGGCUCAACCGUAAAAUUGCAAUUGAUACUGGCAGUCUUGAGUACAGUUGAGGUAGGCAGAAUACGUGGUGUAGCGGUGAAAUGCUUAGAUAUCACGAAGAACCCCGAUUGCGAAGGCAGCUUACUAAACUGUGACUGACAUUGAUGCUCGAAAGUGUGGGUAUCAAACAGGAUUAGAUACCCUAGUAGUC
rnacentral:rRNA from 1 species